rnacentral:lncRNA from 1 species
GCACAAUUUCACCUCUCUCCCCCUCCCAAAUCAAUUUCCCUCACUACAACCCUUUAUCGAUUUUGUCUCUCAUUUGCAUUUGCGCUUAAGAACUUCUGAGGUACAGUCGUCUCUACUUCGUCGUGGUAUGUAUCAUUGACUUCUUUGCCCAAUUGCACCACAUCACCAAUGAUUGGUUGAUUCUGUGUUGGCUAAACCAUAUGAAACAGAAAAAGGAUACGGAAACCCUAGCCCUAGCCUGGGCUGCAAAAUUUGCCACAACAGGUACGAUUUUUUGUAAAAAAUUUUGUUUGUUAUGUGUUGGUGAAGGUGAUGGAUGACUUUCCAUUGCUAUUUGGUGUUAAGAACAAUUACAACGUUUAAGUUUCAUUAUCACCGCAUCUGUGAAAGCUAUUUGGUGUUAAGAACAAUUACAACGUUGUUUGGCUGAUAUAUGUUGGGUAGCGGUGCAGCUUGUUGCCCAUUUACCUACUAUCUCGAUGUAAUUCAUAACAUUUUAAAUAUAAAAAGCUACAAGAUUA